UGGCUUGUGAUGAUAAUUUUCUUAUCUUAGCGGAUUUCAGUGAGAUUGGAAAUUAUAUCUUUCUAUCAAUGAUCUGAUUGUUACACACACUGAAGCCU
rnacentral:snoRNA from 1 species